AUCAAAACAAACAACAAUCUAUAUGACUAGUGGACUGGUCACAAGUGCUCCUAUUAAAUGGAUCUCUGUAUUUACUGUACAUCCACAGAAAAGCACAAAACAGGUUUGGAGCAAAAAAAGUAAGUAAUGUCUGGAUUUUGGCGUGAAUAAUUCUAGUUACAUAAUAAUAAUCAUAAUAAUAAACUAAAUUUUAUUAAAUUAUUUACUUACAGGUAUUGCAUAAAUGUGUAGCAGUGACAAUUCUAUACCAAGAAUGACAAGCACAGGCUUCAAGAGCAAUUAAUCAGCAAAUACAAAGAAGCAGAAUACAUCAAGAUUGGCAAAACUAAGUCAACAUCACCAAGAUUGCUUUAACAGAGCAACUGAACUGGACUCAAAAAGACACCAUACAGCAAUCACAGGAAGUUUGCAUGUUAUCCUCUGUGGGAUCCACAUCUGAUAGACUCUUAUCAGCACCCUGUGAUGUGUUUAGCUCUGUGAAGGCCUCAUCACCCUCAUGUCCUUCUCAACUGUCCUUACUGCCAUCGUCCUGACCCUGAGCAGCCUUCAUCAGCCUCACUUUCUCCUCUGUCUGAGACACUCUCAUUAAGGGAGGACUUGGCACCUGCACACAGUGCCAAAGCUACCAGUACCUGGUUUAAGGACCAUGGUAUCCCUGUUCUUAAUUGGCCAGCAAACUCGCCUGACCUUAACCCCAUAGAAAAUCUAUGGGGUAUUGUGAAGAGGAAGAUGCGAUAUGCCAGACCCAACAAUGCAGAAGA